CAGGACGAACGCUGGCGGCGUGCAUAACACAUGCAAGUCGAACGGAGUAUUACAAAGAAAUCUUCGGAUGGAAUUGUAAACUACUUAGUGGCGGAUGGGUGAGUAACGCGUGAGGAACCUGCCUUGCACAAGGGGAUAGCCUCGGGAAACCGGGAUUAAUACCCUAUGAUACUUUAAACUCCCAUGAGUUUAAAGUCAAAGCGAUUAAGCGGUGUAAGAUGGCCUCGCGUCCCAUUAGCUAGUUGGUAAGGUAACGGCUUACCAAGGCAACGAUGGGUAGCCGGCUUGAGAGAGUGAACGGCCACACUGGAACUGAGACACGGUCCAGACUCCUACGGGAGGCAGCAGUGGGGAAUAUUGCACAAUGGAGGGAACUCCUGAUGCAGCGACGCCGCGUGAGCGAUGAAGGCUUUCGGGUCGUAAAGCUCUGUCCUAGGGGACGAUAAUGACGGUACCCUAGGAGGAAGCCCCGGCUAACUACGUGCCAGCCGCGGC
rnacentral:rRNA from 1 species